GCUCCUACGGGAGGCAGCAGUGGGGAAUAUUGCACAAUGGGGGGAACCCUGAUGCAGCGACGCCGCGUGAGCGAUGAAGUAUUUCGGUAUGUAAAGCUCUAUCAGCAGGGAAGAAAAUGACGGUACCUGACUAAGAAGCCCCGGCUAACUACGUGCCAGCAGCCGCGGUAAUACGUAGGGGGCAAGCGUUAUCCGGAUUUACUGGGUGUAAAGGGAGCGUAGACGGCUUGGCAAGUCUGGAGUGAAAGGCAUGGGCUCAACCUGUGGACUGCUUUGGAAACUGUGCGGCUUGAGUGUCGUAGAGG
rnacentral:rRNA from 1 species